rnacentral:rRNA from 1 species
GACGAACGCUGGCGGCGUGCUUAACACAUGCAAGUCGAACGGAAAGGCCCUGCUUUCGUGGGGUUCUCGAGUGGCGAACGGGUGAGUAACACGUGAGUAACCUGCCCUUGACUUUGGGAUAACUUCAGGAAACUGGGGCUAAUACCGGAUAGGAGCUCCUGCUGCAUGGUGGGGGUGGGAAAGUUUCGGCGGUUGGGGAUGGACUCGCGGCUUAUCAGCUUGUUGGUGGGGUAGUGGCUUACCAAGGCUUUGACGGGUAGCCGGCCUGAGAGGGUGAACGGCCACAUUGGGCCUGCGAGACGGACCAGAGUCCUACGGGAGGCAGCAGUGGGGAAUAUUGCACAAUGGGCGGAAGCCUGAUGCAGCGACGCCGCGUGCGGGAUGACGGCCUUCGGGUUGUAAACCGCUUUCGCCUGUGACGAAGCGUGAGUGACGGUAAUGGGUAAAGAAGCACCGGCUAACUACGUG